CCUACGGGAGGCAGCAGUAAGGAAUAUUGGUCAAUGGACGCAAGUCUGAACCAGCCAUGCCGCGUGAAGGAUUAAGGUCCUCUGGAUUGUAAACUUCUUUUAUAUGGGACGAAAACAGAUCUUUCUAGGUCCUUUGACGGUACCAUAUGAAUAAGCACCGGCUAACUCCGUGCCAGCAGCCGCGGUAAUACGGAGGGUGCAAGCGUUAUCCGGAUUCACUGGGUUUAAAGGGUGCGUAGGCGGGUAGGUAAGUCAGUGGUGAAAUCCUGGAGCUCAACUCCAGAACUGCCAUUGAUACUAUCUAUCUUGAAUAUUGUGGAGGUAAGCGGAAUAUGUCAUGUAGCGGUGAAAUGCUUAGAUAUGACAUAGAACACCCAUUGCGAAGGCAGCUUACUACGCAUAUAUUGACGCUGAGGCACGAAAGCGUGGGGAUCAAACAGGAUUAGAUACCCUGGUAGUCCACGCCCUAAACGAUGGAUACUCGACAUACGCGAUACACAGUGUGUGUCUGAGCGAAAGCAUUAAGUAUCCCACCUGGAAGUACGUUCGCAGAAUGAAACUCAAAGGAAUUAGACGG
rnacentral:rRNA from 1 species